AUCAAACGAAUCCAAGAUUAGAAGUCGAAGUCCAGAGAGAGAGACGAAUGCGUUUUCAACUUCUAAGGUUUUUCUUCUGCAAAUCUCUGGCUUAGGUAUGUAUGAUUUUGUGUUUAAAACUUUUUCCAACCUUGUUUAGUACGACUCAAUGAUUAUUAUUUCUGCAAACUAGGGUUCAAGCUCAAUCUUCGUUUAAAUGAGGAGAUUGAUUCGGCUAAAAUUAAAGGGGGAAAAUAGGGAUUUUCAUAUUCAUAAACCAUUUGAACACCUAAAAGGUUGUUAAUGCCAUCUUCAAAUAACUUAUCGUCGUCAGUUACUUUAAAUAGGGUAGAAUGUUUAUGAGGUGUAUUUGCAUCCAUUCGUGUCUCCACAAAUAACAAAUCAAAGGGAAGAAGGUUGCGUAGAUGUCAUUUUUACCCAAUAAGUAAAUUUUAGGUGUAAAUUUAUAUAUUAUUCUAAUGUAUUUUGGAUUCAAUUUGGUUGGGUGUUUUUUUGUUACACGACGUUGAUAAAUAUUGUGGAUUUUUCAAUGGUUUGACAUAAUUUCUCAAAAUAAAGUUUAUGGUAGUGAUUGCAGUGAAAUGAGUUUUGUUUUAAGGAAUAAAGAUGAAGUCAUUUUACUGAGAAGCAAAACAAGAAAGCCGAAAUAGAAGCUAAAGAUUUUGAAAAGGGAGACCUUAAAACUGGAGUUAAAAUCUGUCAAACUAGGAAAGACAAAUAAGAUAUUGCAAUUCUACGUGAUAUUGUCAUGGAUGGUGACUUGUGUUGUAUUAAGUUAUAUUUCCAUGAACUUUUAAGCAUUAGAAGCUAUGUAAUCAAGUUAUGCUUCCAUGUAAUCAAGUUAUGUUUUCAUUUAAUCAAAUCACGUUUUCAUGUAAUUAAGUUGUAUUUCGUUAUGUUUUCUCUUAUUUUCAUGUAUCAUAACUUUCUGAUGUUUUUUGAGUAAGAUUGUAAAUGAACCGAACAAUUCGAGAUCGAUUCGGGCUCGACUCGAAAAAAUAUGAGUGAUACUCAGAUUCGUUAAUAAUAUGAUCCAAAUAUGAGUAUAAAAAAUAGCUCGAAUAAAAAUAUGAGCAG
rnacentral:lncRNA from 1 species